GUAAAUUUGGCAACGGCGUUAAAUUAAUUGCUGCACGAGUUGUGCACUAAAUUCGACCAAAUUAAAUUACAAAAAUGAAAAAUGUGAUCGUCGUGUCUCGUUAUCUCUUCAUUAGUUCCAAAAUUACAGGUUGAGAAUAAAAAUAGUGUAAUAAUGGGGGGCUCAAUCAAAUUGAGUUCAUUAUUGUAAACUUGUACUAUUUAAGUGCCUGACUUGCACUUGUUAGCAAGUAAGCCCCCAAGUGAAAGCAUGCUUUUGCCAUUUACUUAAUUUGCAAUGCAAGUUCAUCUUUCUCUACAUCUUCUUUGUGCAGUUUUAUUGUGUCCUGAGUCAGCCAUUGCCAUCAAAGUUUUGCUUAUCAUCAUUCAACUUGCCAUCAGCAGCAGUGCCAGCUCCAUCGACAGGAUAAACAACAACAUCUUUAAAUGGAGAAUCCACCGAUGAUAAGUCAUCUCUUAUUUCCCCUUCUUUUAAUUCCUCUGUACUCGUGUACAGAGUACACUCAUGUGAAUGUGAUUGUUUUCACGAGGAUUCCCGCCUGGCGUGUUAAUUUUUUUUUAAAGGAUGGAUUACAUGGAGAUGCCUGACUGUAUUUCCCAGGUUACAAGGUAGAA